rnacentral:lncRNA from 7 species
AGGAGACACGGAACUGUGUCACUCUGUUCCCUGUGAGGGUCAAAGCCUGCCUGCUCCUGGCAGAGCCUCCAGAAUUCACAGCUGACUCUGUUCACGAUUGCUGCACUAAACCUCCAGGAAAGGAAAUUUUCGGUUUCUCAGAUCAUCUUUAUACCUGUGGAAGGAAAGCAGCAUGGGAGCGCUGCACUCCAACCACACCAUGAACACAAAGCAACCAGAAAAAGGCUUUUUUUGUGGGGAUACUGACCUAUUGAGAAUGUGGUGCGUUCCCCUGCACCAACAUCUGAAUAGUCACUGGCGAUGCGCCUGGAUAUUCUGGAUGUUGUGUCUGUCAAAUAAAUCAGCAGUCCAGAUGCAGAGCCUGGCAAUGAUGACAUUCUGCUGGUGACUUUCAGCCCGUAAGCCAACAACUUUUGUCUUGGAGGGGACCUCUCUGUCAAACUGCAGACAAAAAAUCAAUCAACAACAUUGACCCUUAAAAUUUCAUCUCCAUGCACGGACAAUUAGGAAAUGAACACAGAACAUAUAAGACAUUUAAGACCUGUAUAAAGAAGGUAUUGAAAUCUAACAUGUUCCUUCUGAUGAGAAGGGACUUCAGCAUCCUACCCAGCAGAAUGUGCUAUGGAGUUAAGGCAUAGUCUGUCACCAGACCACACCAUGCAGGUGACCUACUGACCAAGUGACCUCUGGAGUUUCUCUGCAAGGCUGUUUUGGCCCAAACCUGAGGACUUGGCAACCAAAACUACUGAAGGCUAUGCGAGGCUGGGCAGCAACACAGUCUCAGUGUGCCCAUGACUGCUCCAUACUUACCAUAGCACAUCUCAUUCCCUAGCCAGCUUAUGACAUCGUUGGUGCUGAUUUAGAACCCAAGAUCUAUCUAUGUUGAAAAUAUCCUUGAGAUCAUCAUGUUUCAGCAUUUGUACUGAACAGGUCUG